GGGCGCAUAGCUCAGCGGUAGAGCACUCGCCUUACAAGCGAGGGGUCACUGGUUCGAACCCAGUUGCGCCCACCA
rnacentral:tRNA from 1 species